rnacentral:rRNA from 1 species
GACGAACGCUGGCGGCGUGCUUAACACAUGCAAGUCGAACGGAAAGGCCCUGCUUUUGUGGGGUGCUCGAGUGGCGAACGGGUGAGUAACACGUGAGUAACCUGCCCUUGACUUUGGGAUAACUUCAGGAAACUGGGGCUAAUACCGGAUAGGAGCUCCUGCUGCAUGGUGGGGGUUGGAAAGUUUCGGCGGUUGGGGAUGGACUCGCGGCUUAUCAGCUUGUUGGUGGGGUAGUGGCUUACCAAGGCUUUGACGGGUAGCCGGCCUGAGAGGGUGACCGGCCACCUUGGGACUGAGAUAGGGCCCAGACUCCUACGGGAGGCAGCAGUGGGGAAUAUUGCACAAUGGGCGGAAGCCUGAUGCAGCAACGCCGCGUGCGGGAUGACGGCCUUCGGGUUGUAAACCGCUUUAGCCUGUGACGAAGCGUGAGUGACGGUAAUGGGUAAAGAAGCACCGGCUAACUACGUG